AUUCUUAUAAGCCAUCUAGCUAGCUUAACCUUGUUGCCCUCGUCUCUCAUGGCUGCCCUCUUCUUGUCCGACCCGGAGCCUAACCAGGUCCUUUUUGAAGAAAGUUCAUACGCACGAAAGAUGAUAUUAAACCGACCUCACAAACUAAACAGUCUCACUUAUGAAAUGAUUUCUCAAAUUUCAAGGAACUUGGAAGUGUAUGAGAAUGAUCACUUGGUCAAAAUUUUGAUUUUAAAGGGACAAGGAAAAGCAUUUUGUGCUGGUGGAGAUGUUGUAG